UCUAGGAUAAACUAAAUAAGUUGUCGGGCUCAUAACCUGACCAUGAGGGCAAACUCUCCUAGAU
rnacentral:tRNA from 1 species